GACAGAGGGUGCGAACGUUGUUCGGAAUUACUGGGCGUAAAGGGCGUGUAGGCGGCCAACUAAGUCCGACGUGAAAUCCCCAGGCUUAACCUGGGAACUGCGUCGGAUACUGGAUGGCUUGAAUCCGGGAGAGGGAUGCAGAAUUCCAGGUGUAGCGGUGAAAUGCGUAGAUAUCUGGAGGAACACCGGUGGCGAAGGCGGCAUCCUGGACCGACACUGACGCUGAGGAGCGAAAGCGUGGGGAGCGAACAGG
rnacentral:rRNA from 1 species